rnacentral:lncRNA from 1 species
UUGGCCUUGCACAGGGGCUUCAGCCUCAGGCCACAGUUUGUCCCGCCACUGCACACUGUAGUGCUGUAUCAGCUCUUUGUAGGACUCGUCCAGCUGCUGGUCCAGGUCCACACCACGGUGAGCCCCAGGUGUGUCCCAGAGGGAACUGGGUGACUUCUCUGGAGACUGUUUGCCAUGACACCCCAUCAAGGACCAGGGGAAUAAAGGGGGCGCCCUUCCCCAUGCCCCUCCCCUGGUCAGGUCCCCGAUGGCCUGGGUGAGGGCGGGCCGGCUGCUCUGACACCAUGGGGAGCUGCUGUGGCUGCCUGAGCAGAGACAGCGUCCCAGACAACCACCCCACCAAGUUCAAGGUACCCGGAGCCUCCUCCCUGGUCUUCUCAGUAGCUUUCUGGGCGCAGCCCUGAGCCCUCAAGUGCCACAGCUUCUGUGGGGAAAGUGGCAGGAUGGGCUGAGGUCGGGGUGUAGGAAGGGCAAAGAAAGGCCCAAGCCACUGCCACUUUUUGCUUCUCUUGUUGGCACCAAAAAUAAAUGCUGUACUGCAGGAGCAGAAAGGUGCUUUUAGAAUGUUCAUUGCUGCCUGUGUAUUUGUCACUAUGUAUACACCUUUUUCAGGGAAAAAGAACAAAAGUCUGUAUUUGUGAGUUAAAAUACACUAGGUAUUUUCAGUAGUGCG